rnacentral:rRNA from 1 species
GUACGGGAGGCAGCAGUGGGGAAUAUUGGACAAUGGGGGCAACCCUGAUCCAGCGACGCCGCGUGUGUGAAGAAGGCCUGCGGGUUGUAAAGCACUUUUAGUGGGGAUGAAAAGUACAGGGCUAACACCUCUGUAUCUUGACCUAACCCACAGAAAAAGCACCGGCUAACUCUGUGCCAGCAGCCGCGGUAAUACAGAGGGUGCGAGCGUUAAUCGGAAUUACUGGGCGUAAAGCGUGCGUAGACGGUAGCGUAAGUCGGGUGUGAAAGCCCCGGGCUCAACCUGGGAAUUGCAUUCGAGACUGCUCUGCUAGGGUGCGGAAGAGGGAAGCGGAAUUUCCGGUGUAGCGGUGAAAUGCGUAGAUAUCGGAAGGAACACCAGUGGCGAAAGCGGCUUCCUGGUCCAGCACCGACGUUCAGGCACGAAAGCGUGGGGAGCAAACAGGAUUAGAUACCCCGGUAGC